GACGAACCGUGCGAACGUUGUUCGGAGUCACUGGGCUUAAAGGGCGCGUAGGCGGGUGGCCAAGUCAGGGGUGAAAUCCGGCAGCUUAACUGUCGAACAGCUUCUGAUACUGGCCGUCUUGAGGGGGGUAGGGGCAUGUGGAACUUCCGGUGGAGCGGUGAAAUGCGUAGAUAUCCGAAGGAACACCGGUGGCGAAAGCGGCGCGCUGGAUCUCUUCUGACGCUGAGGCGCGAAAGCCAGGGGAGCAAACGGG
rnacentral:rRNA from 1 species